GGGUAGCUGAGGGGAUGGUAGACCGGUGACGUGCACUUUAUUUACGAUGUAGGUCACCGGUUUGACUAUCCGUCGGUACCC
rfam:Myotis lucifugus cont2.47294, whole genome shotgun sequence.